rnacentral:rRNA from 1 species
UACAGAGGUCCCGAGCGUUGUUCGGAUUCACUGGGCGUAAAGGGUGCGUAGGUGGUGAGGUAAGUCGGAUGUGAAAUCUCCGAGCUCAACUCGGAAAUGGCAUUGGAAACUACCUUGCUCGAGGGUUGGAGGGGGGACUGGAAUACUUGGUGUAGCAGUGAAAUGCGUAGAUAUCAAGUGGAACACCAGUGGCGAAGGCGAGUCCCUGGACAACUCCUGACACUGAGGCACGAAAGCUAGGGGAGCAAACGGG